GCCUAUAGCAAUCAGAUUUCUAGGGGUGCCUUGGCGUCUCAGUCGUUAAGCAUCUGCCUUCAGCUCAGGUCA